UACGUAGGGUCCGAGCGUUGUCCGGAAUUAUUGGGCGUAAAGGGCUCGUAGGCGGUUUGUCGCGUCGGGAGUGAAAACACCGGGCUUAACUCGGUGCUUGCUUUCGAUACGGGCAGACUAGAGGUAUGCAGGGGAGAACGGAAUUCCUGGUGUAGCGGUGAAAUGCGCAGAUAUCAGGAGGAACACCGGUGGCGAAGGCGGUUCUCUGGGCAUGACCUGACGCUGAGGAGCGAAAGUGUGGGGAGCGAACAGG
rnacentral:rRNA from 1 species